rnacentral:snoRNA from 1 species
UGGACCAGUGAUGACCACCAGUGGCAUCUGAGUCACGGACAAUGAGUAGUAUUCGAAGUCUGAGGUCCAG